rnacentral:rRNA from 1 species
GAUGAACGCUGGCGGCGUGCCUAAUACAUGCAAGUCGAGCGAACAGACGAGGAGCUUGCUCCUCUGACGUUAGCGGCGGACGGGUGAGUAACACGUGGAUAACCUACCUAUAAGACUGGGAUAACUUCGGGAAACCGGAGCUAAUACCGGAUAAUAUAUUGAACCGCAUGGUUCAAUAGUGAAAGACGGUUUUGCUGUCACUGAUAGAUGGAUCCGCGCCGCAUUAGCUAGUUGGUAAGGUAACGGCUUACCAAGGCAACGAUGCGUAGCCGACCUGAGAGAGUGAUCUGCCACACUGGAACUGAGACACGGUCCAGACUCCUACGGGAGGCAGCAGUAGGGAAUCUUGCGCAAUGGGCGAGAGCUUGACGGAGCAACGCCGCGUGAGUGAUGAAGGUCUUCGGAUCGUAAAACUCUGUUAUUAGGGAAGAACAAAUGUGUAAGUAACUAUGCACGUCUUGACGGUACCUAAUCAGAAAGCCACGGCUAACUACGUG